UUCUUUUAGAAAUUUUUAAAGGUAUUUUCUGCCCAAUGAUUAAUUAAAUGGCUGCAGUAUCUUGACUGUACAAAGGUAGCAUAAUAAUUAGCUUCUUAAUUAGGGGCUUGCAUGAAUGGAUAAAUGAGAAUUUAGUUAUAUUAUUUUUAUAUUUAGAAUUUUAUUUUUAAGUAAAAAAGCUUAAUUAUGUUUUUGGGACGAAAAGACCCUAAAGAACUUUAAAUUUAUUUAUAUAAAAAUCUUUUUAAUAAUAUAGAUUAAUUAAAUAUAUUUUUAUCUGGGGCGGGUUUUAAAUUUUAACUUUAUAUUUUUUUUUCAAUUGUUUUUGUUUAAAAUUGAUCCAUUUAUGAUUAGAAGUUAAGUUACCUUAGGGAUAACAGCGUAAUUUUAGUGGGGAGUUCAUAUUUAUACUAAAGUUUGCGACCUCGAUGUUGAAUUAAGAUUAUAUUAUGGGGUAGGUUUUAUAUAUAUUGGUCUGUUCGACCAUUAAAUUCUUACA
rnacentral:rRNA from 1 species